AGGCCGAUGGUGUAACGGUAGCACAGCAGAUUUUGGUUCUGUUUGUCCUGGUUCGAAUCCAGGUCGGCCUG
rnacentral:tRNA from 1 species